rnacentral:rRNA from 1 species
UACGUAGGGGGCGAGCGUUGUCCGGAAUUAUUGGGCGUAAAGAGCGUGUAGGCGGCUUGGUAUGUCGGGUGUGAAAUCCCCGGGCUCAACCUGGGAACUGCAUCCGAAACUGCCUUGCUAGAGUAUGGGAGAGGGAAGUGGAAUUUCCGGUGUAGCGGUGAAAUGCGUAGAUAUCGGAAGGAACAUCAGUGGCGAAGGCGACUUCCUGGACCAAUACUGACGCUCAGGUGCGAAAGCGUGGGGAGCAAACAGG